GACGAACGCUGGCGGCGUGCUUAACACAUGCAAGUCGAACGGAAAGGCCCUGCUUUCGUGUGGUGCUCGAGUGGCGAACGGGUGAGUAACACGUGAGUAACCUGCCCUUGACUUUGUGAUAACUUCAGGAAACUGGUGCUAAUACCGGCUAGGAGCUCCUGCUGCUUGGUGGGGGUUGGACAUUUUCGGCGGUUGGGGAUGGACUCGCGGCUUAUUAGCUUGUUGGUGGGGUAGUGGCUUACCAAGGCUUUGACGGGUAGCCGGCCUGAGAGGGUGACCGGCCACAUUGGGACUGAGGUACGGCCCAGACUGCUACGGGAGGCAGCAGUGGGGAAUAUUGCACAAUGGGCGGAAGCCUGAUGCAGCAACGCCGCGUGCGGGAUGACGGCCUUCGGGUUGUAAACCGCUUUCGCCUGUGACGAAGCGUGAGUGACGGUAAUGGGUAAAGAAGCACCGGCUAACUACGUG
rnacentral:rRNA from 1 species